rnacentral:lncRNA from 1 species
UCCACCGAGAUUGUGAGGCCUUCUUCACCAUGUGGUAUUUAUUAGUCAAUCGUUUAUCAGUAUAGACUCAAAUAUUUUUAUGUUAUACUUUGGGUUACAAUCUAACACCAUAUUAUUUAUUCUGUUGCUCAGGCUGUCCAGUUUGGCCACUGGGAGCUCUUCCGGGAGUGGCUUCUGUGCCCCUUUGACAUGCUGCCAUCCUUUUAUUUUGUUUUGAGUAUAUUAGCUUUGAUGUAAAACUUGGUUUUCUUCCCCAUCUAUCCACUGAAAUUGCUUUAAGGUCCUUCAGAUGACAAUGGUUUCUAGAUUGUCUACUUUUCUCUCUUCAGCUUAUCAGGCCUCUCCGUAACAUUUAGUACUGUAAACCUCUUUCCUUCAAAUUCUAUUUCAUUUGAAAAAUUUACUAUGAAAUUUUCAAACAAAAACAAAACUAGAGAGAAUAGCAUACUGCAUCUCCACGUGUCCAUCACUCGGCUUCAGUAAUUCUCAACAUUUUGCUGAUCUGAUUUCAACUGUUGCCUCUCCCAUGCUAAGCUAUAGUACAAGCCACUAGCCCGCCUCUUAGAACCUCUCAUUUCCUUUCCAUCGUAGAAAUCUGUCCUCAAGGAAAUAACUUCUCAGUGUUCCAUCUGCUAUUCUACUACUCCUCAGGGAUUAUUCAGGCCCCCUCCCUUCCCUACACAUCAAGCUCAGGGAUUUGCCCCCACCCAGGACUGGUAAAUUAGCUUUACUCAACAUGCUCCGAGUUAGAUAACUAAAAUACCUCUUGGUCUAGGUAGACACUUUCACUGGAUAGGUACAGGCCUUUCCUACAGGGUCUGAGAAGGCCACGCAG